UACGGGGGGGGCAAGCGUUGUUCGGAAUUACUGGGCGUAAAGGGCUCGUAGGCGGCCAACUAAGUCAGACGUGAAAUCCCUCGGCUUAACCGGGGAACUGCGUCUGAUACUGGAUGGCUUGAGUUUGGGAGAGGGAUGCGGAAUUCCAAGUGUAGCGGUGAAAUGCGUAGAUAUCUGGAGGAACACCGGUGGCGAAGGCGGCAUCCUGGACCAACACUGACGCUGAGUGAGCGAAAGCCAGGGGAGCAAACGGG
rnacentral:rRNA from 1 species